UGGCAAUCUAAUUAUUGGAGGUGCAUAAACGGUGCCUGAAGUAUAUGGGUGUAAAUGGCACUUCAGAACUUCGGUACAUAGAUGGCGCUUAAAAGUAUAAGAGUGUCAAUGGCAAUUCAGGACUUUUUUUUUUUUUUUGAUGUAAUAGGAGGCAAGACAGCCACCUAGAUUUUAUUAAUAGGGAGUCAUAAAAGAAUGUACAACA
rnacentral:lncRNA from 1 species